AACGUAGGAGACAAACGUUAUCCGGAGUUACUGGGCGUAAAGGGCGUGCAGGCGGUCGACUAAGUCUGGCGUGAAAGCUCGCGGCUAAACCGCGAGAGGUCGUUGGAUACUGGUUGACUAGAGGACGGUAGAGGCGUGUGGAAUUCCGGGUGUAGUGGUGAAAUGCGUAGAGAUCCGGAGGAACACCAGUGGCGAAGGCGACCCCCUGGACCGGUACUGACGCUGAGGCGCGAAAGCGUGGGUAGCAAACGGG
rnacentral:rRNA from 1 species